rnacentral:piRNA from 2 species
UGGCCGAGUGGUUAAGGCGUUGGACU